AGGGAAAAUAACACUUAGUAGGAGCAACAUCUUCAACCAUUGAAAGGGAAGAAGUUUUUAAGAUCUUUAAAUGGUGUUGGGAACAAAAGGAUGGCAGCAGAGGGGCAGUCUGAUAAAAUGGCAUCUGACAUAGAAGUGCCUGUGAAGCAAAGUGAGACACUUGCUGAGUGUUUAUGGACAUUGAACAGUGGAUGUGAGCACGGUGAGGCAAUGUGUGUUGUGUUUCAGCAGUGGCAACAGUGUCAUGAAAGGUAAGCCACAUUCUGGAUGGCCAUGCAUAGCUGUCACAGCAGGAAAUGAGGAGAGUCUUGAUCAGCUCAUCUGAGCAAAUCAGUCAAUGGUGGUGAACUGUGUUGAAAAACAGUGUUGUAGUUGAAAAAAUGUUCUAUCAAACAAUGUUAUUAUGCUUUUUGUGUCUGUUGUAAUUUCCAUGGAAAUAAAUAGGAGGCAUUAUUUUCAGAUCAGUGUAAUUUUAAUGUCUUGUUCUCUAGGCCGUACUUUUGCAGCAUCAUUUCUCUUGGUCAGAUUUAAGCUGUUCUUAGCUAGUAUGUCACUCUAGCUAUAUCAUUAAUUAGUCACCAUUGCUGUAGUGAUGAUACGCAAACAAUGAGAAUGUUCAGUCAGGACAUCCACAGUGUUUGGAAACAAGCUUAAUGAGGGCUGGGUAAAAGAUGGUUCUUUCUUUCUUGUAUUAAUGAAAUGAUGGUAACUGUACAUCAGAGUGACCAGGAGCACUUGUAUGUUUUCCUUUCAUCUCUACAUGAAGUACAGAUUAGAACAAGAAGAAAUGCACUGUUUGUUAUUCUAGGGUUGUACCCAGCAAGAGGAGAUGAACUAAUAUUAAAAAAAAAAAAAGAAAAGAAAAGAAAAAAAAAAAACGAAACCAACCAAACAAAAACUUUUGAUUUCUGUUUUAUCAACUUAUAUGAAAUAGAAAACUAGAGAGAGACCAAACUUUGGUAAUUACCCUGUGUUCUAUGUGUGAUCACUGUACCCUGCUAUAUUAAAAUAGGCAUUAACUUACAUGCUUUGUUUAUCUAACCUCAAAUAGAUAUAGGGCCUCAGACCUAUUCUCUCUCUGAUACUGGAUAAUGACAGAAGUGCAAACUUCUCAGAAGUGGAAUAUUGAGGAGGAUCUUCAAAUCUGCUUCAAAAGCCAAAAGUGUGAAGGUUCUUGUGUAAAUAUAUGUGAACACACUUCUACGGGGAGAAGAUGGACUCCAGUACUACAGACUCCAGUAAUGGAAUUUUCUGUAGGUGCUGGAAAUCCACGAGAAGUAGGCAAGAGAUAUUUUUUUUCUUUUCCUCUUGCUCAGUUACUGUUUUCCUUCUCUAAUUCUCUACAGGGUUAAGGAAAACAAACAAACAAAAAC